GAUAACAUUGCGAAAGCGAUGCUAAUACCGGAUAAUAUCUAAGAACCCUCGGGUUUUUAGAUCAAAGGUGGUCUCUACAUGUAAGCUAUUGUUUGGAGAUGAGCCCGCGUACCAUUAGCUUGUUGGUAGGGUAAAGGCCUACCAAGGCGACGAUGGUUAGCUGGUCUGAGAGGAUGAUCAGCCACACUGGAACUGACACACGGUCCAGACUCCUACGGGAGGCAGCAGUGAGGAAUUUUGCGCAAUGGGGGAAACCCUGACGCAGCAACGCCGCGUGAGUGAUGAAGGCUUUCGGGUCGUAAAGCUCUGUCAAGUGGGAAGAAACUAUAGAAUGCCAAUACCAUUCUGUACUGACGGUACCACUGAAGGAAGCACCGGCUAACUCCGUGCCAGCAGCCGCGGUAAUACGGGGGGUGCAAGCGUUAUUCGGAAUCACUGGGCGUAAAGAGCGCGUAGGCGGUCUCUUAAGUCAGGUGUGAAAGCCCGGGGCUCAACCUCGGAAGUGCACUUGAAACUAAGAGACUUGAGUAUGGGAGAGGGAAGUGGAAUUCCUGGUGUAGCGGUGAAAUGCGUAGAUAUCAGGAGGAACACCGGUGGCGAAGGCGACUUCCUGGACCAAUACUGACGCUGAGGCGCGAAGGCGUGGGUAGCAAACAGGAUUAGAUACCCUGUAGUCCACGCAGUAAACGGUGAACACUAGGUGUAGCGGGUAUUGACCCCUGCUGUGCCGCAGUUAACGCAUUAAGUGUUCCGCCUGGGGAGUACGGCCGCAAGGUUAAAACUCAAAGGAAUUGACGGGGGCCUGCACAAGCGGUGGAGCAUGUGGUUUAAUUCGACGCAACGCGAAGAACCUUACCUGGAUUUGACAUCCCGGGAAUCCUAUCGAAAGACUGGAGUGCCCUUCGGGGAACCCGGUGACAGGUGCUGCAUGGCUGUCGUCAGCUCGUGUCGUGAGAUGUUGGGUUAAGUCCCGCAACGAGCGCAACCCCUAUCUUUAGUUACCAUCAUUCAGUUGGGGACUCUAAAGAUACUGCCCCGGUCAACGGGGAGGAAGGUGGGGAUGACGCCAAGUCCUCAUGGCCUUUAUGUCCAGGGCUACACACGAGCUACAAUGGGCAGUACAAAGGGUAGCGACAUCGCGAGGUGAAGCCAAUCCCAUAAACCUGCCCUUAGUUCGGAUUGGAGUCUGCAACUCGACUCCAUGAAGCUGGAAUCGCUAGUAAUCGUGGAUCAGCAUGCCACGGUGAAUACGUUCCCGGGCCUUGUACACACCGCCCGUCACACCAUGAGAGUUGGUUGUACCAGAAGUUGUUGGGCAAACUUGCAUUAGCGAGAUGCAGGCACCUAAGGUAUGGCUGAUGAUUGGGGUGAAGUCGUAACAUGGUA
rnacentral:rRNA from 1 species